GACGAACGCUGGCGGCGUGCCUAACACAUGCAAGUCGAGCGGAGGAUUCGAGAUGUUUACAUCGAAGGAUCCUUAGCGGCGGACGGGUGAGUAACACGUGGGUAACCUGCCUCAGAGUGGGGGAUAGCCUUUCGAAAGGAAGAUUAAUACCGCAUAAGAUUGUAGCGUCACAUGGCGCAGCAAGAAAAGGAGCAAUCCGCUUUGAGAUGGACCCGCGGCGCAUUAGCUAGUUGGUGAGGUAACGGCUCACCAAGGCCACGAUGCGUAGCCGACCUGACGAGGGUGAUCGGCCACAUUGGAACUGAGACACGGUCCAGACUCCUACGGGAGGCAGCAGUGGGGAAUAUUGCACAAUGGGCGAAAGCCUGAUGCAGCAACGCCGCGUGAGUGAUGAAGGCCUUGGGUCGUAAAGCUCUUGAUCAGGGAUGAUAAUGACAGUACCUGAAAAACAAGCCACGGCUAACUACGUGCC
rnacentral:rRNA from 1 species